UACGUAGGGCGCAAGCGUUAUCCGGAAUUAUUGGGCGUAAAGAGCUCGUAGGCGGUUUGUCGCGUCUGCCGUGAAAGUCCGGGGCUCAACUCCGGAUCUGCGGUGGGUACGGGCAGACUAGAGUGAUGUAGGGGAGACUGGAAUUCCUGGUGUAGCGGUGAAAUGCGCAGAUAUCAGGAGGAACACCAGCGGCGAAGGCGGCGCUCUGGGCUGGAACUGACGCUGAGGAGCGAAAGCGUGGGGAGCGAACAGG
rnacentral:rRNA from 1 species